AACGAACGCUGGCGGCAUGCCUAACACAUGCAAGUCGAACGGGAUCCUAGCUUGCUAGGUGAGAGUGGCGGACGGGUGAGUAACACGUGGGAAUCUGCCUUUUGGUUCGGGAUAACCGCGGGAAACUGCGGCUAAUACCGAAUGCCCUCGAGAGAGGAAAGAUUUAUCGCCAGAAGAGGAGCCCGCGUCCGAUUAGGUAGUUGGUGGGGUAAAGGCCUACCAAGCCGACGAUCGGUAGCUGGUCUGAGAGGAUGAUCAGCCACACUGGGACUGAGACACGGCCCAGACUCCUACGGGAGGCAGCAGUUGGGAAUCUUGGACAAUGGGGGAAACCCUGAUCCAGCCAUGCCGCGUGAGUGAUGAA
rnacentral:rRNA from 1 species